GAGGGUAUAGCUCAGCAGUAGAGUGCAUGCUUAGCAUGCCUAAGGUCCUGGGUUCAAUCCCCAGUACCUCCA
rnacentral:tRNA from 1 species